rnacentral:rRNA from 1 species
UGAGGAAUAUUGGUCAAUGGGCGCAAGCCUGAACCAGCCAAGUAGCGUGCAGGACGACGGCCCUCCGAGUUGUAAACUGCUUUUAGUUGGGAAUAAAGUGCGGGACGCGUCCCGUUUUGUAUGUACCAUCAGAAAAAGGACCGGCUAAUUCCGUGCCAGCAGCCGCGGUAAUACGGAAGGUCCGGGCGUUAUCCGGAUUUAUUGGGUUUAAAGGGAGCGUAGGCCGAAGGUUAAGCGUGUUGUGAAAUGUAGUCGCUCAACGGGUGCACUGCAGCGCGAACUGGCUUUCUUGAGUGCGCGGAAAGUUGGCGGAAUUCGUUGUGUAGCGGUGAAAUGCUUAGAUAUGACGAAGAACUCCGAUUGCGAAGGCAGCUGACUGUAGCGUAACUGACGCUGAUGCUCGAAAGCGUGGGUAUCGAACAGGAUUAGAUACCCU